UACGGGGGGUGCAAGCGUUGUCCGGAUUUACUGGGCGUAAAGGGCGUGUAGGCGGUUGUAUCAGUCGGGCUUAUAAGUGCGGGGCUCAACCCCGUGAUGGGUUCGGGACGGUAUGACUGGGGCGCGGUCGAGGGAGACGGAAUGCCGGGUGUAGUGGUGAAAUGCGUAGAUAUGCGGAGGAACACCGAUGGCGAAGGCAAUCCCCUGGGCCUGCACUGACGCUCAUGCACGAAAGCGUGGGGAGCAAACAGG
rnacentral:rRNA from 1 species